UAGCGGGGGGAGGCAAGCGUUUGUUCGGGAUUUACUGGGCGUAAAGGGCGCGUAGGUCGGUCAGCACAAGUCAGUUGGUGAAAUCUCCCGGGCUUAACUCGGAAAGGUCAACUGAUACUGUGCGACUAGAGUGCAGAAGGGGCAACUGGAAUUCUCGGUGUAGCGGUGGAAAAUGCGUAGAUAUCGAGAGGAACACCUGCGGCGAAGGCGGGUUGCUGGGCUGACACUGACGCUGAUGCGCGAAAGCCAGGGGAGCGAACAGG
rnacentral:rRNA from 1 species